AGGGAUAACAUUAGGAGAAAUACCUAAUGCUGGUGACAGGGUGAUGGAUGCAGUGAACCACCAUGGCAUGUGUAUACCUGGGUAACAAUCCUGCAUGACCUGCACAUAUACCCCAGAACUUAAAGUAUGAAAAUACUAAGGGCAGCCAGAGAGAAAGGUCAGGUUACCCACAAAGGCAAGCCUAUCAGACUUACAGAAGAUCUCUCAGCAGAAACUCUACAAGCCAGAAGAGAGUGGGGGCCAAUACUCAACAUCCUCAAAGAACAGAACCUUCAGCCCAGAAUUUCAUAUCCAGCCAAACUAAGCUUCACAACUGAAGGAAAAAUAAAAUCUUUUAUGAACAAGCAAGUACUCAGAGAUUUUAUUACCACCAGGCCUGCUUUACAAGAGCUUCUGAAAGAAGCAUUACACAUAGAAAGAAACAACCAGUAUUAGCCUUUCUAAAAAUAUACCAAAAAAUAAAGAGCAUCAACAUAAAGAAGAAUUUACAUCAACGAAUGGAUAAAACAGCCAGUUAACAUCAAAUGGCAGUAAUCCUAAAUUUAAAUCGACUAAAUCCCCCAAUCAAAAGACACAGCCAAAACCCAACGGCAUGUUGCAUCCAGACCCAUUUCACAUGCAAGGAUACACAAAGACUCAAAGGAAUGGAGAAAGAUUUACCAACCCAAUGGAGAGCAAAAAUAAAUAAAUAAAUAAAAAGCAGGAGUUGCAAUUCUCAUAUCUGAUAAAAUAGAUUUUAAAGCAACAAAGAUAUAGUGGUAAAAGGAUCAAUGCAACAACAAGAGCUAAUGAUCCUAACACCCAGAUACAUAGAGACUUAAAUUCAAUGAGACAGAAAAUUAAUAAGGAUAUCCAGGACUUGAACUCAGGUCCGGAACAAGUAAACUUAAUAAAUAUUUAUAGAGCUCUCCACUUCAAAUACAUAAAGUAUACAUUCUUGUCAAUACCACAUCACACCUACUCAUAGGUUUAAGUGAAACAUUGAUUGGCCAUUAUUAAUACCCAUUUUUUUUUAGAAUAAAGCAACAUUUCUGUUCUCUCUCCCUCUUUUUCUUCCUCUUUCUUCCUCUCCUUCACUCUUUUUUUUUUCUUUCCUUCUCUCAAAAAAAGAAAAAAAAAAGAAAUCAACUUGUAGACCUCUAGAUCCAGUUUGGCAAUGUCUCUCUCAUUGCUUUAUUUCCUUCCUUCCCUUCUUUCCCUCCCUCCCUCCCUCCCUUCCUCCUUUCCUCCCUUCCUAAAAAAAAAAAAAAAAAAAGAAAAGAAAACUUGCCUUUAUUAAGUCUAUUCAAAUCAUUCAACUUUCAUACAGGCAACUCCCUUCAGUCAUUUUUUUUUUUCAUUUUGCAGUAUUUUAAAUUCUAUUAUAUAAUUAACAAAAGAAGUGAAUGUAAACAGACAUGGAGACAAAACUGGUUCUUGAAAGCAGACAACGUGGAGACAUCCCAGGGAGAAACCGUUAACCCUUAAGUUCCCAGUUUACUGGGAGAAUCAGUCAGUAUGAUAUAGAAAAGGAAUUAGUUAAUUCAGCAAGACAGUUAAAUGCAGAUUGCUCUCUAACAGCAGAUGAGGGCUCAGAAGGAGAGUCCACUUACAGUUGACAUUUAAAAAAUUGUAUUUAGUUGCAUGUACUAUAGAUAAAUUUUGCAAACCCUCCACAUAUAUUCUGCAAUAAAUUAAAUCAUAAAUUAUAUAGUUAAUUUGUAAAGGGAUGUUUAGUGGAAGACUGAUUUUUCUGCUGAUCAUUUCCCAUGAUAUUCCUGAUCCCAUGAUGGUAAACAAUAAGAUUUUUCUUUCUUGUGUGUAGAAUUUAUCCUAGAUUUUACCUAUAUACCUCAUCAAAGAUCUUUUAAAAUAUUAUCUUUAUUACCAUACUUGUUAGAAAGCUUGUUUUCUGUCAUAAAUUCUCCAGAAGUAUCUUUGCUCUGAAAAUAGACUAAAUAGGAGAAGGUGUUUUAAGCUACUGUUGGUGGAAAAAGUAACUUUCUAAUUGGGGUCCGUGCUAGAAACAGUUGUUUCCCCACUGAAUGGACAUGUUGAUGCUUUUGGUUUAACUACUGCAUUUCUCUCUGCCCCUUACCCUGCCUUCAUUUCUGCCUAUCUCCAAAGAUGCUGUUGUUUAACUGUUUCAUGUCCAGUACCAUACAGGCUUCUCUUGCUCUAUGCUUAGGCAUCAUUUACCCAUCUAGUAGCCUAAUCUCAGCUCUUUAUGGCCACCUGAGUCUACAGUGGAGCAGGCUGAAGAGAGAGUUGGUAAGCUUCUUGAUAUUUUGCCUGUGUAUGUUCACCAUCAGGUUUGUAGAGGCAAAAAUUCUGCAGGCCAACCCCUGGCUAUAGAGCAGGGAGCAGGACUUCAGUGAGUGCUCAUUGAUUUCUCCAGCUGUCAGAAAAUUUGCACCCAGGAGUGAGCAGGUGCCUUCGCUGCCUUUGGCAACAAAUUGGGGACUUGACUCCCUUCCCUUCUCUUCCCUUUUCCCUUCCCCCUCCCUCCCCUUCCCAUUUCCCUUCCUUCUCCCUUUCCUCUUCCCUUUCCCUUCCCUCUUCCCUUUCCCUUUCCCUCUCCCUUCGCUUUUCCCUUCCCUUUUCCUUUCCCUUUCCUUUUACCUCUCCCUUCACCUCUCCCUUCCCUCCCCUUCCCUUUCCCUCCCCUUCCCUUUCCUUCCCCUUUCCUCCCCUUUUCUCCCCUCUCCUCUCCUUAGAAGGAGCUUUGCUCUGUUGCCCAGGCUGGAAUACAGUGGCAUGACCUAGGCUCACUGCAACCUCUGCCUCCCAAGUUCAAGUGGGUGCCUCCCUAGUAGCUGGGAUUACAGGAACAUGCUAGCAUGGCUUGCUAAUUUUUGUAUUUUUAGUAGAGACAAGGUUUCACCAUGUUGGCCAGGCUGGUCUUGAACUCCUGACCUCAAGUGAUCCUCUUGUCUCAGCCUCCCAAAGUGCUGGGAUUACAGGUAUGAGCCACCACACCCAGCUAGGACCUUGCAUUUCUAAGCAGUCAGAGGAUGCAGUCUCUAAAAGGGAGUUGAUGUUAUUUUCAGGCUGGGUGAUCAAGGUAAAUAACCCAUUUUCUUUUGUUUCAUUGUGUUAUUGUUUUCUCCAGAACUAACUGUUCACUCAUUAGGAACUGUUAGAGGUGGCUUCACAGUAUUGAUUACUAUUUGUGAUCCAUUUGUGGCACAUUCUUGAAUCUUUCUUUUUUUAUUAUUGCAUUUUAGGUUUUGGGGUACAUAUGCAGAACAUGCAAGAUAGUUGCAUAGGUACACAUGUGGCAGUGUGAUUUGCUGUCUUCCUCCCCUUCACUCACAUCUGGCAUUUCUCCCCAUGCUAUCCCUCCUCAGUUCCCCCCCUGCACUGUCCCUCCCCUAUUCCCUGCAAUAGACCCCAGUGUAUAGUGCUCCCCUCCCUGUGUCCAUGUGUUCUCAUUGUUCAUCACCUGCCUAUGAGUGAGAAUAUGCGGUAUUUCAUUUUCUGUUCUUGUGUCAGUUUGCUGAGAAUGAUGUUCUCCAGAUUCACCCAUGUCCCUACAAAGGACACAAACUCAUCGUUUUUGAUUGCUGCAUAAUAUUCCAUGGUGUGUAUGUGCCACAUUUUCCCAGUCCAGUCUAUCAUCGAUGGGCAUUUGGGUUGGUUCCAGGUCUUUGCUAUUGUAAACAGUGCUGCAAUGAACAUUUGUGUGCAUGUGUCCUUAUAGUAGAACGAUUUAUAGUCCUUUGAAUCUUACUUUCAAAGUACGGAAGGGAGAAGGUUUAACUUGCCUGAAACCAUUUGAACUGAUACUACUGUUCUAUUAUAAAUGCAACUUGUAAUUUAUUCCUUACUGUCUUAGCUCUGAAAUGUGCCUAUAAAGCUGCAUAAUGUAAACUGAUUUUAAAAACCAUAGCAUCAACUACUCUGCUGGGGUCAAUUUUUAAUAUCCUGAAAAGGCUUAGGAAUCCAAACCCAGUUUAAAACUUAGCCCAGUUUAUUUGUAAGUGGAAACAGAAAUGUCAGUCUGAGAGUAUAUUGUGACAAAUCUCUGGGAAACGUGUCCUCCGUUGAUUUGUGUCAUCAUCCCUGGAAAGAGCACAUGAGGAAAUAAGUCUUCCCAAUCCAAAUUUCCUUUUGAUAAAACCUUGGCAAACGCUUUUCUAAUCCUAGGUUUCAAGUCUUUAAGAAUAAUUUUGGUGGAUGAUGCAUGCUUUGAGGAUAUGAUAUUUUAAAUAUCAUCAUAUUGCUUCCAGACAUCUGAGGGUUUUAGGAUGCAUAUUAGUAUAUAUCAUUUCUCCUCUCCCUCCCUACACAUGUGUGAAUGUAUAUGUGUUUGUGUUUUCUGUCAUAUGAAAUCAGCCAGAAAACCAGACCUUGAGCAAGUCAGUUAACCUUUACAGGCCUGUCUUCUCAUAGUAUAAUGUAAAGGAAUUUACUGUAUUUAAAUUUUAGCCCUUCACAGUUGUAAAAUUAUUUUAUUUUACUGGAAAAGAAUUUGGAGUCCACAUGCUUAUUUGUGUCCUUCAUAUGUAGAUAACAUAGACUAUGUUUUAUCUCUGAGAGCCUAAAAUAAUAUGAUUCACAUAUGUAGAACUAAUUUUUUUUUUUUUUUUGAGACGGAGUUUCACGCUUGUUACCCAGGCUGGAGUGCAAUGGCGCGAUCUCGGCUCACAGCAACCUCCGCCUCCUGGGUUCAGGCAAUUCUCCUGCCUCAGCCUCCUGAGUAGCUGGGAUUACAGGCACGCACCACCAUGCCCAGCUAAUUUUUUGUAUAUUUUUUAGUAGAGACGGGGUUUCACCAUGUUGACCAGGAUGGUCUCGAUCUCUUGACCUUGUGAUCCACCUGCCUCGGCCUCCCAAAGUGCUGGGUAGAACUAAUUUUUUAACUUUUAUACUUUAAUAUGUAAACUAGAGGGAGGGAUUUUUAAAAGCAAAAUCUUUGACUAAAUAUUGCUUCUACACCUAAACUCAGUCUUCAUCAUCGCCCUACCACUACCAACUUCAGUGUUUAGAAACCAUGAACAAGAGGUUAUAUUAACAGAUUAGUGUUACAUGGAGCUCUUGUAGUGUCAAGAGGUAGUGGGGAGAAAUUCUCAGCCUGAGUCUCUAAGGCUGUUACUGACUGAUUAGCAUAAGAAGUGGUCUUGGGCCAGGCAUGGUGACUCAUGCCUAUAAUCCCAGCACUUUGAGAGGCCUAGGUGAGUGGAUCACUUGAGGUCAGAAGUUCAAGACCAACCUGGCCAACAGUGAAACCUCAUCUCUACUACAAAUACAAAAAUUAGCCAGGUGUGGUGGUGGGUGCCUGUAAUCCCAGGUACUUUGGAGACUGAGGUAGAAGAACUGCUUGAAGCUGGGAGGCAGAGGUUGCAGUGAGCUGAGAUUGUGCCAUUGCCCUCCAGCCUGAGCAUUGCAGCGAGACAUAGACAGACAGACAGACAGGCAGACAGAGAGACAGACAGAUAGAUAGAUCACACUCAAGACCACUUCCAUCUAACAGGACAACCUGACUGGUUUCCUGGUUUCCAUAUACUUUCAGGAUAGUGUCCUUCCAGCUUAAUUUAAACUUUAUACAUAUCAGAGCACCAGUUGCUGCAAAAAGAAAAAGACAAGAACAAAUAAUCAAUAGACUCUUAAAAAAAACUUAAUACUUCAUAUAUCUCUACUUCCUAGAGCCACUAAAGGCUGUCUUUUAGAGUUAAUUCUUUAUUGCUGCCUUGCAAAGACGAGGACCAUAGCUAGUCUUUGCCUGCUUUCUUGAUUCUCACACACCAUUAAGAUUGAAGCUAAUUUGUCACAUUGACACUGAGGAAUGUUAUUAUUCAAAGCCGAGUUAAAAAGGGAUUUAUAGAGAACAAAACCAAUAAGCCAAGCAGCUCUGACAUUUAAUUUUCUUGGAAACCUUUCCCAUCAAACCAGGCGAGUCUGCACACUACACAUUUGCAAAAUGAAAAGUGGUGUUGUAGUAGGAUAAUCUCCUCAUAUAAACGAUGAAUGAAUAAUUUGAAAGAGACUUGAUAUUAUAGAGGGCCCUUUCUCCUCUUGUCCUCUCCCAUCCUACCCUGAAAUGACAUUUAUGGAUGGAUUCCAGCUUUUAGAGGUGAUAUGUUAAGUUUUAUUUUGUUCCAUAUUUUCCAUAAGAAUUGAGAGUUUGGGGAAGUGAAUACAGAUGAUUUUUAUUUAUGUUUUUGGCCACCAGUUCCAGGUUUAUCCUAUUAAGAAUAUUGCUUCCUUGGUCCAUCAGCCCAAAGGGUCAAUAAACACUGUCCGUCUACCAAGAGUUCCUUUAAAAUCCUAAUAUGAACUAAUUAGGAUUAGUUUAGGACACUGUUGGCUUCCUAAGGUACAUUAAGCUCACAGAAGGAAUCAUAUUUGAGGAUCCAUUUAGCUUCCUGUUUUAGUCAGGCUGGAUAAUGCUAGUUGCUUUAAUAAAGAGCCAAAAUUGGCCCACCUUUAAAUUCUCGCGAGAGCGGUGUCUGCGUGUCGGGACAUGCGGAGAGUCUCACUUUCCGUCAUGGCACUGAAGGUAGCAACAGCCUCUGGCGGCGCUAUGAAGGCAGUGCUCCGGCCAGCCCUUCUGUGAAGUGCCUGGGAGGUUCUAGGUGCCCAUGAGGCCCCCCUCGAAGAGCAUCUCCUCACAACAAAUGAUUCCUCCAUCAGCUAAGUAUGGCGGGCGGCACACAUCGACCGUGAUCCCUGGUGAUGGCAUCGGGCCAAAGCUCAUGCUGCAUGUGAAGUCUGUUUUCAGGCACGCCUGUGUCGGGUGGACUUUGAAGAGGUGCACGUGAGUUCCAACCUUGAUGAAGAAGACAUUAGCAAAGCCAUCAUGGCCAUCCGCCGGAACCAUGUGGCCCCGAAGGGCAAUAUCAACACCAACCGUAAUCUGCCACCAUCCCACAAAUCCCGAAACAACAUCUUCCGCACCAGCCCGGACCUCUAUGCCAACGUCAUCCACUAUAAGAGCCUGCCAGGUGUGGUGACCCGACACAAGGACAUAGACAUCCUCAUUGUCCGGGAGAACACGGAGGGUGAGUACAGCAGCCUGGAGCAUGAGAGUGUGGCGGGAGUGGUGGAGAGCCUGAAGAUCAUCACCAAGGCCAAGUCCCUACGCGUUGCCAUAUGCUUUCAAGCUGGCGCUGAAGAGCGGGCGCAAGAAAGUGACGGCCAUGUACAAGGCCAACAUCAUGAAACUGGGCAACAGGCUCUUCCUCCAAUGCUGCAGGGAGGUAGCAGCUGGUUACCCCCAGAUCACUUUCAAGAACACGAUUGUGGACAACACCACCAUGCAGCUGGUGUCCUGGCCCCAGCAAUUUGAUGUCGUGGUGAUGCCCAAUCUCUAUGGCAACCUGGUCAGCAAUGUCUGCUCAGGACUGGUCGGAGGCCCAGGCCUUGUGGCUGGGGCCAACUAUGGCCAUGUGUACACGGUGUUUGAAACAGCUACGAGGAACACUGGCAAGAGUAUCGCCAAUAAGAACAUCGCCAACCCCACAGCCAUCCUGCUGGCCAGCUGCAUGAUGCUGGAUCACCUCAAGCUGCACUUCUACGCCACCUCCAUCCGUAAGGCUGUCCUGGUGUCCAUGGACAAUGAGAAUAUGCACACUCCAGACAUUGGGGGCCAGGGCAUAACAUCUGAGGCCAUCCAGGACAUCAUCAGCCACAUCCGUGUCAUCAAUGGCCAGGCUGUGGAGGCCUAGGCUUGCCCUGGAACCUUCUUGGUUUGCUCCUCAGAUCCCCCUUCUCACUCCCGCACCCCAGCCAGCCUGAUAAGCAGAGCCCAGAAUAAAGCAGCUUCUCCC